rnacentral:rRNA from 1 species
CCUACGGGAGGCAGCAGUGAGGAAUAUUGGUCAAUGGACGAGAGUCUGAACCAGCCAAGUAGCGUGAAGGAUGACUGCCCUAUGGGUUGUAAACCUCUUUUAUAUGGGAAUAAAAUGUUCCACGUGUGGGAUUUUGUAUGUACCAUAUGAAUAAGGAUCGGCUAACUCCGUGCCAGCAGCCGCGGUAAUACGGAGGAUCCGGAAGUUAACCGGAUUUUUUUGGUUUAAAGGGAGCGUAGGGGGAUUGUUAAGUUAGUUGUGAAAGUUUGCGGCUCAACCGUAAAAUUGCAGUUGAAACUGGCAGUCUUGAGUACAGUAGAGGUGAGCGGAAUUCGUGGGGUAGCGGUGAAAUGCUUAG